rnacentral:misc_RNA from 1 species
AUUCUGCAUCAAUAUCCAAAAAUUAUAAGUCUUUUGAUCCUACUUCCUUACACGUCAUUUUAGGUCCAUCCCUCAAAAACAGAAGUUCCAAAGAAUCCAGAAAAUACUUGUUUUGGCCUAUAUAUUUGGAGAAACAAAGGUCAAUCAAAAUAAUAUAUUAAAAGCACAAAAUUACAACAAAGAUGGCAUCUAAAGUGUUUAAAAGUGGCUACUGGCUACAAUAAUCCCACAAAGGAUGGCUAAGCCCCAUAAUAUCUGUAGAAUCACAUUCCAAAAUGAAGUAUAUAAUUGGCAGAAAACAUGCAAUUAUGUAAAACUGUGAAGAACUAGCACCUACUCAUCAAAAGAGACAUGUAAAAUGUGCUUGAGAAGAAGUGAUCCUCUUCCGCAAGUCACAACUCUCUAAUGACUAGGGACUGGGAGGCAGACCUAUGACCCUUUUUUAUAUCUUAGGUAAUUAGGCCAGUAAAUGUGUGUGCUGCUUCAGUGAAUCUCUUUGGACUACUGUAUAAAUAUGCAAAACCACUCGAAGAAAAAAUUCUGAACAAGCACUAUGCCGCUUGUCAUCAUAUCCAUGUCAAUAUCUACCUGUGCAAAUGUGUGUGUUUCUUUUGUGCACGCUGACACACCCACACACAAAGAACAAAAUCAACAUUCAUUUUAAGCCUACUUGACAUAUUAUGACAGAAGGAUCCAACAAAGAUUCUUCGUUCAAACAGCAUAUGAACAAUUGCCACCCUUUAGCAGGAAAGAAUUGCAGAAGCAACAUACAAUCAAUCACCU